rnacentral:lncRNA from 1 species
UUCUAGUCAAAAUGUCACAUUCUAACUCACGCCAGUUUAUUAUGAGAUGUAGAACUACAAAAUGAAUUCUUAAGAAGGGUGUGCCAAGGUCCAUAACUUUCAUUUAUGAGCUUUUUGUAUCUCCUGGUGGUGGUAUAAAGUGUGGUUGUCCAUUACUUUGAUAGCACAAAGCUUCAUCUUCGAUUCUCUCUUGUUUCCUGAAAUGAUGAAUCUGAAAUUAGGUCAAGUUAUUAAUGUCACGAUCCAAACCCCACUCUGAUUGUGAUGGAGAUUCUCGUGAUGACAAGUCCAUCCAUCCAGCCCAAUUUGCCGUUUUGAAAUUAAAUAAAUAUGCGUAUACAAUUUUAAAGAUGGUUCAAUAAUAUUAUUUAGCGGAAGUACAACCCAAGCAUAGCACAAAUCGGGAUGUCACAAGUCACGAGCAUCUCGAAGAGUCUAAACAUAACUACAAGGCCAGUAAUAUACAAAAGAAAAUUUAGACUGAAAAGGAAGAAAUUCGCGCCGCGAACGCUGGUGGUUACCUUGGUUAGCUACGAUAGCAAAAUCUCCAAUCAGCUCAAAACCCGCUACUGGAUAAACAAAUACCUGCAUCUGUAUACAAGGUGUAGGGAGUAAAGUGAGUGCUCUAACUCUAUGAGUAAUAAAGGUAAAUAAUAACCGAGCUGUAAGAAAUCACGCAAAACAAAUCAUUGUGCUGUAUAGAAGCAAUGUAAAACUAUUUGAGAUAAUCAGCGAA